UACGUAGGGUGCAAGCGUUGUCCGGAUUUAUUGGGCGUAAAGAGCUCGUAGGCGGUUUGUCGCGUCUGCUGUGAAAACGCGAGGCUCAACCUCGCGCCUGCAGUGGGUACGGGCAGACUAGAGUGCGGUAGGGGAGAUUGGAAUUCCUGGUGUAGCGGUGGAAUGCGCAGAUAUCAGGAGGAACACCGAUGGCGAAGGCAGAUCCCUGGGCCGUUACUGACGCUGAGGAGCGAAAGCGUGGGGAGCGAACAGG
rnacentral:rRNA from 1 species